UUGAGCCGUAUGCAGUGAAAGUUGCACGUACGGUUCUAAGGAGGGCGGCACUCGGUAACGGGUGUCGCCUAUCCGCC
rnacentral:ncRNA from 1 species